GGGUAGUUUGACUGGGGCGGUCUCCUCCUAAAGAGUAACGGAGGAGCACGAAGGUUGGCUAAUCCUGGUCGGACAUCAGGAGGUUAGUGCAAUGGCAUAAGCCAGCUUGACUGCGAGCGUGACGGCGCGAGCAGGUGCGAAAGCAGGUCAUAGUGAUCCGGUGGUUCUGAAUGGAAGGGCCAUCGCUCAACGGAUAAAAGGUACUCCGGGGAUAACAGGCUGAUACCGCCCAAGAGUUCAUAUCGACGGCGGUGUUUGGCACCUCGAUGUCGGCUCAUCACAUCCUGGGGCUGAAGUAGGUCCCAAGGGUAUGGCUGUUCGCCAUUUAAAGUGGUACGCGAGCUGGGUUUAGAACGUCGUGAGACAGUUCGGUCCCUAUCUGCCGUGGGCGCUGGAGAACUGAGGGGGGCUGCUCCUAGUACGAGAGGACCGGAGUGGACGCAUCACUGGUGUUCGGGUUGUCAUGCCAAUGGCACUGCCCGGUAGCUAAAUGCGGAAGAGAUAAGUGCUGAAAGCAUCUAAGCACGAAACUUGCCCCGAGAUGAGUUCUCCCUGAGACUUUAAGUCUCCUGAAGGAACGUUGAAGACGACGACGUUGAUAGGCCGGGUGUGUAAGCGCAGCGAUGCGUUGAGCUAACCGGUACUAAUGAACCGUGAGGC
rnacentral:rRNA from 1 species